AACGAACGCUGGCGGCAGGCUUAACACAUGCAAGUCGAACGCCCCGCAAGGGGAGUGGCAGACGGGUGAGUAACGCGUGGGAACAUACCCUUUUCUACGGAAUAGCUCUGGGAAACUGGAAUUAAUACCGUAUACGCCCUACGGGGGAAAGAUUUAUCGGGGAAGGAUUGGCCCGCGUUGGAUUAGCUAGUUGGUGGGGUAAAGGCCUACCAAGGCGACGAUCCAUAGCUGGUCUGAGAGGAUGAUCAGCCACAUUGGGACUGAGACACGGCCCAAACUCCUACGGGAGGCAGCAGUGGGGAAUAUUGGACAAUGGGCGCAAGCCUGAUCCAGCCAUGCCGCGUGAGUGAUGAAGGCUUUAGGGUUGUAAAGCUCUUUCACCGAUGAAGAUAAUGACGGUAGUCGGAGAAGAAGCCCCGGCUAACUUCGUGCCAGCAGCCGCAGUAACAC
rnacentral:rRNA from 1 species